UUUUUAGCCUAACUAGGCUGAAUUAAUGUCAAUGCAUGUCACCUUGUCUACACUGUAGACACUUGUUAACCAAUUUAAUGAGCUAAAGUUAAAGAGAUCGAAAUAGAAGUUUUAUUUGUCUUUACCAGUAUUUGGCAAUUUGGUAGAAUUUUAUGUUGGCUGCUAUGAAGUCUUUUUUUGUUUGUUUGUCAGCAUUAAAUUGAAUCACAUUUAACGUUACAUCCUGUUUUGAUGUUACAGGGACUGAUGAACACCCAUAAGUUUGUCUGGUGGAAAGUUGCCAAUAAAGGCCUAUUCACCAGGAAACACAGCACUCCCAUUAAAGAGAUUGAGUUCAUGUGCACUGGAGGAUCAGAGGAAAACACCGCAAAUGACUCGUGAAGGUUUGGUUGAGGAAAUGGAAGACAUAUUUCUAUCCGCACACUUAAGGCAACAUAAUGAGUGUAAUUCCUUGCAGGGGAUUCUGGAGGAGCUCUCUUUCUACGUAAGAGGAUGCCAGAUUUCCAAGAAGUAGGACAUUUCUAGGGUGAAUUUCCAUUUCAUGCUGACUUUAAUCAUCACCAGGAUAUUUUGACAAAAUGUGGAGCAGAAAAGAGUUGACUGGUUAAUGCACACGUGUGAAAUGGGAUAAUGCUAAUUGAACUGCAAAAUAUCUUGUGACUGCACAUCACAACAGGCGGCAUCAAUUUCAACAUUUAAUUGACUGUAAGAAGACCAGGUUUGAUCACUAUUCGUUUACUUGAAAUUCUCACACACACUGCCACUGCGUGAGUGGUUACAUUUUUGGUUUGUAGAAGACGCUACAAAUUUAAAGUUGUUAAAAUGACGAUUAUAAGGAUAUUUAAGGGCCUCAGAUAACGACACAAUUUCCCUUAUCUUUGUAGGAGAUAUGAUUUGUCUUGCCUUUUUAGGUCACUUUUUUGUUACAAAAUGUUUUUGUGUGUGUGUGCACCAUAGCACACAGAAUUUCUGAUUUUGGCGUGUUUUUUAAUGUAAUAGUUGACAUCUAAUCUUGAAAAGAGGUCCACAUACUAUAUAUGAUGUAGAGGUAAAAACUGAAACAGGAGGCCUUGAUUGGUUCAUUUUUUUUUUUAUCCAAUCACUUUUGAAAGUCUUGGUUCUAUGAUAAAUGAAUAUGUAUAACAAGAAGAGUCUAAUAACUGUGUAUCUGACCAAUAAACUUGGAAGAAGUAGGAGAUGUGAUGCAUAGCAUUGUGUGUCUCGUUCUUCCCAUGGGGUUCUUACAACUCUUCUUAUUCCCAUACUACUUACAGUAUGCAGUAUGCAUGUAUCAAGUAUACAUGUCUUCUGUAUGUAUAGAACACCUGAAUGAUACUAAAUUUGCAACGUGAGCACACUGUACUGGGGACUUCAUCCCACAAUGCAAUGGUCUUAAUUUGGGUCAUCCAUUUUGCAUCUUUUAUUUACUCAGUGGAUGUCUGAAUCAUUAUUUUGUGUAGUUUGUUUCACUGACAAAUAUUGCUGGUUACACUUUAU